CAUUACCGAGUUUACAACUCCCAAACCCAAUGUGAACGUUACCAAACUGUUGCCUCGGCGGGAUCUCUGCCCCGGGUGCGUCGCAGCCCCGGACCAAGGCGCCCGCCGGAGGACCAACCUAAAACUCUUAUUGUAUACCCCCUCGCGGGUUUUUUUUAUAAUCUGAGCCUUCUCGGCGCCUCUCGUAGGCGUUUCGAAAAUGAAUCAAAACUUUCAACAACGGAUCUCUUGGUUCUGGCAUCGAUGAAGAACGCAGCGAAAUGCGAUAAGUAAUGUGAAUUGCAGAAUUCAGUGAAUCAUCGAAUCUUUGAACGCACAUUGCGCCCGCCAGUAUUCUGGCGGGCAUGCCUGUCCGAGCGUCAUUUCAACCCUCGAACCCCUCCGGGGGGUCGGCGUUGGGGAUCGGCCCUCCCUUAGCGGGUGGCCGUCUCCGAAAUACAGUGGCGGUCUCGCCGCAGCCUCUCCUGCGCAGUAGUUUGCACACUCGCAUCGGGAGCGCGGCGCGUCCACAGCCGUUAAACACCCAACUUCUGAAAUGU
rnacentral:rRNA from 1 species